GACGAACGCUGGCGGCGUGCUUAACACAUGCAAGUCGAACGGAAAGGCCCUGCUUUUGUGGGGUGCUUGAGUGGCGAACGGGUGAGUAACACGUGAGUAACCUGCCCUUGACUUUGGGAUAACUUCAGGAAACUGGGGCUAAUACCGGAUAGGAGCUCCUGCUGCAUGGUGGGGGGUGGAAAGUUUCGGCGGUUGGGGAUGGACUCGCGGCUUAUCAGCUUGUUGGUGGGGUAGUGGCUUACCAAGGCUUUGACGGGUAGCCGGCCGGAGAGGGUGACCGGCCACAUUGGGAGGGAGAUACGCCCGAGACUACUACGGGAGGGAGCAGUGGGGAAGAAUGCACACUGGGCGGAAGAAGCAUGCAGCAACGACGCGUGCGGGAUGAAGGACUUCGGGUGGUAAACCACUUUCGCUUGUGACGAAGCGUGAAUGACGGUAAUGGGUGAAGAAGCACCGGCUAACUACGUG
rnacentral:rRNA from 1 species